GACAGAGGGUGCAAACGUUGCUCGGAAUUACUGGGCGUAAAGCGCGUGUAGGCGGACCACCAAGUCGGACGUGAAAGCCCUGAGCUCAACUCAGGAACUGCAUCCGAAACUGGCGGUCUGGAGUAGUGGAGAGGAAAGCAGAAUUCCUGGUGUAGAGGUGAAAUUCGUAGAUAUCAGGAGGAACACCGGUGGCGAAGGCGGCUUUCUGGACACUUACUGACGCUGAGACACGAAAGCGUGGGGAGCAAACAGG
rnacentral:rRNA from 1 species